rnacentral:lncRNA from 1 species
UGGUGAUGCUAAUUUCUCUCUGCCCAUCCCUGCUCCAGGCAAGAGGCAUGAUGGGAACUCUAUACAGUUCCUGUGCCCUAAAAUGUGCAGCUUGGAUGGGAGACAGGCUGGGUCUAGAGACCCUACAGCAGGAGCUCUGAGACCCUCCGUGGGUCACUAAAGCGUCCAGCUCCUCUGAAAUUUGGAAAGCACUGAUAGUAAAUGUCCCAUUUCCUACCGCGCGUCAGCUGUUUUGAGCCUGGCAGGAAACUCUAGAUCACUCUUGGAUAGGUACCAAGGCGUUGAGGGAAAGCAUGGAGGCAGAGAUGGAGAGUGAACUCCACUGCUGGGAGACGGCAUCUUGACUGGAGCUAGGGAGGCGGCUGGAGGUGCACAUCGCCCAGGAGACCCUCCAUCCAGGUGACUGACAGCCCCGGGCCAGGUCUGAGUCAGUGUGCGCAGUCGCAGCACACUCGGGCAUGCUCUUCCAAAGUAAGGUCCCGUUCUACCUUUCUGAGGCAGAUUUCCUUACCCAGGAUGCACGCCUGGUGGCUAUCACCCAGGGCAACCUGAAAAGGAUCGCGCAGACUCGGAAGGGGUCAG